GGUGGUUCUCGGGUGACACACCCCGAAUAGGGGCUUCCUCCUCUCUGGUUCCGGGUGUGUCACCUGAGAACCUCA
rfam:Myotis davidii contig16679, whole genome shotgun sequence.